AAGCUGAUAGUCUUUUUACAGUAUAACCAUUUAACCUCAUAACAAUUUUACGUAUUCUGUUUCUCUUUGUCUUGGGUAUACGAUCGUACCCGUGUGGCAUUACCUCGCGUUUAAAGAACCCUUAACAAAGGAUGAUAAGUAAGACACCUUAAAAAAUGAUGAUAAGUAAGACACCUUAAAAAAUGGUUUGACUGUCAUGAUGUAAAGUUUCAUGGUUUUGUGAUUGCCAUUUGCUGCAAAAAUUUGCUGUUCGAGUUUAGGAAGAAGCGACUUGACAUUAUUUGGGCCGUGUUUGGUGGGGCUUUUGAAAAGCUAAAGACUAUUUUUGUGAC
rnacentral:lncRNA from 1 species